rnacentral:rRNA from 1 species
AUUGAACGCUGGCGGCAUGCCUUACACAUGCAAGUCGAACGGUAACAGGUCUUCGGAUGCUGACGAGUGGCGAACGGGUGAGUAAUACAUCGGAACGUGCCCGAUCGUGGGGGAUAACGAAGCGAAAGCUUUGCUAAUACCGCAUACGAUCUACGGAUGAAAGCAGGGGACCGCAAGGCCUUGCGCGAACGGAGCGGCCGAUGGCAGAUUAGGUAGUUGGUGGGAUAAAAGCUUACCAAGCCGACGAUCUGUAGCUGGUCUGAGAGGACGACCAGCCACACUGGGACUGAGACACGGCCCAGACUCCUACGGGAGGCAGCAGUGGGGAAUUUUGGACAAUGGGCGAAAGCCUGAUCCAGCCAUGCCGCGUGCAGGAUGAAGGCCUUCGGGUUGUAAACUGCUUUUGUACGGAACGAAAAGACUCUGGUUAAUACCUGGGGUACAUGACGGUACCGUAAGAAUAAGCACCGGCUAACUACGUG